GUGUCAGCCGCCGCGGUAAGACAGAGGGUGCAAACGUUGUUCGGAAUUACUGGGCGUAAAGCGAGUGUAGGCGGUUUCGUAAGUCAGGUGUGAAAGCCCCGGGCUCAACCCGGGAAGUGCACUUGAUACUGCGAGGCUAGAGUACUGGAGAGGUUGGUGGAAUUCUCGGUGUAGAGGUGAAAUUCGUAGAUAUCGAGAGGAACACCGGUGGCGAAGGCGGCCAACUGGACAGAUACUGACGCUGAGACUCGAAAGCGUGGGGAGCAAACAGGAUUAGAAACCCUCGUAGUCC
rnacentral:rRNA from 1 species